AAAACAUGUUAGUUUCAUUGAUUCAUUUUUGUUUAAAUCACAUGAUUCAUGAACGUCAUCGGCAGAAAAUCUGACAGACAGACAGUAACUAUACAUCUACAGACGCCAUGUUCUUCUAAAAUGUGAAACGGGUGUAAAAUGACGUUGUGUGUAAAUGUUUUGUGCACAGUAACGUACAGGUCGCACAGAUUCAUCUCUCAGCAGCUUUUUUUUCUGGUAUUUAAAUGUGUGGACAGAUGCAGACGGAGGAAACGGUUUCGACUCUCCACAAAAGAGACGAUUCGUGCAGAAAACCAUGUUCCUGUGGUCCUGCAGGUCGGUGAGCAGCAGCUGUCUGUAAAAACCUCCUGACUCACUCUCACGGCAGCUGCUUUUUCUAUAUUUGUGUGUUUUUGUGCGACAGUCUGCAGACUCAGACUGACCAGAAACCUCCACAACGUCCCUGCAGACCUUUUCUUUCAUUGUGUUUAGUCUUAUUUCCACACAGCCGACGUUUCACUGCGACACACGGCGGUUUGUUGUAAUUAUGGAGGUUUUCACCCGUUUUGUUCCCAUGAUGUCUGACGGGAGGUUCAUGUGGAAGAAGAACUCGGAUCUUUCACUUCAAUAAAAGCACCUGAACGACAUAUAAGUACUAAACUACUAAAAGUCCUGCAUGAAGAGAUCAGCCCCCGGUCUCCUCCAGCUGACCCGCUGACCCCCCCCCCCGACCUUCUGACCCCCCUCAGCAGGGUCAACAGCUGGAGGCAGAGUCACACCUCAGAGCUCGAGAAACUGCAAACACACAGAUCCAGAUCCAGAUCCAGCCGGCCUGUCGGAUGCCAGGAGGCCUCAUUUCCCAGAAGUCUGCAGGACUGAGAGGCUGCAGAGGGAACAGACUGUCCGCAAAAAACAACCGGGAGAUUCUCACAGAGACAGUGAAACUGAACCAGCACAGCCUUACAUGCUCGUUUGUCCUGCAGCGUCUGGACGAUAAGGACACGGAGGAGGAGAGGAAGUGUCCACUGUUUCCAGGACAAAAGACUAUUGUCUCUGCCGAGCCGACCUGAGCGACGCUGCGACGAGCGGGCGUUCGGCGUUCACAUCGGGACAACAAUACGCUACCGGACAGUGUGAGGAGAGAUCAGAGUGAGAGUCAAGGCUGCAGGUUUAGUCUCUCUGUUGUCCUGCAGGAGGUCUGAGCACGCUCAGUACUCACCAGGACAAACACAGGAAGACAUUAAGACUGGAGUUGGUGCUGGGAGAGCUGGGAGAGUUUAUUCUCUCACCAGUGUCCACGACACACCUGCACAUUAGUGGGGCUGUCAUCACAAAGUGUUAUAAAUGAGCCUACAAUACUGGCACCAAUGAGCAGGAGAGAACAGGAAGCUGUCAGCAGCCAAAACAUCGACUCCUGGAUGUCACGACGCCUCUGACCGGUGGAGGAGGAGGAGGAGGAGGAGGAGGAGGAGGAAUCCUGUCACACACUGCUGCACCCUUCUGCAGAACUGUGACUUGAAACCAGUUGAGGACGGCAGCAGAGUCGGAUUAAUGCUGACAGCAGAUGGUUGAAGGAGCGAAAGGCCAAUGAUUGAAAAACAAAAUCAUCCCCCAGUAUGUGUAUCCUGCGUCAGGACUGGGGAGGAAGAACAGGACUGUACGAGGCUGAUGGGAAAUGUGGUUUCAACGAGGAGAAAGCUCUGACGGUGCAAACAGACAGAUUUCAUUUGACAGAUAUUUGGAGUUUCAGACUCUUCCUGACCACUCGCAGCUCUGCAAGCUGUCGUCAGCGCACACAUCCAGGCUGGUUAAUUAAAAAACAGACGACGAGCUGCUAAUUGGGCGUCUUUUGCAUCCCAUCCCCCACGACCCAGUAGCACCCCCCCCACCCGUCAUCCCGUCAGUGUCUGCUGGGCUUCGCUGAACCAGCUGCUGCCUGUCUGAGACUCCAACAACCUGCUCACAGAUGGAGCUUCUCUGUUCAACAGCAGCUCCGUUUCCCUGGAGAACAACAACAAUAAUAAUAAUACUAAUAGUAUUAUAGUAUAUAUUAUAAUACACAAGUUCAUACAUUAUUAAAGCGUGAACUUCCAACUUCCAGCUUAGUAAUUAAGUAGUUUAGUAAUCCUGUAUGGAAUUAUAAUAAAAAGUAAUAAGAGAGAAUCUGUAAUCAUGCAGUUAAACCAAUAUGAGGUUUUUAACAUCAUUUAUAAGAAACCUGUUUAUAAAGAUGGAAGUUUUACAUUUUACAUUCUUGUUAAAUGUUGUGAAACGAGUUAAAUCUCAGAUGUUGUUACCAAUAUAACACCAACACAAUACUGGUU